GCACAGUCGUGAACACCAAGCAACAGCGAGUAAUCCAUCAGAUUUAAGUGUGUCAAAAACUGUAUGCAAAUGGAAUAACGUUUAUGGAACGCUUUGGACUUUUAUUAUUGAAAGAUACUAUAUGGCCCUUCGUAGUUACAACCUCCACCACUUAUUGUUAGUCCUGCGAGAACUACAGAAGUUGGGCACAAUUUUUGUAGCUCUUGAACGCCUUUG
rnacentral:lncRNA from 1 species